rnacentral:rRNA from 1 species
GACGAACGCUGGCGGCGUGCUUAACACAUGCAAGUCGAACGAUGAUGCCCAGCUUGCUGGGCGGAUUAGUGGCGAACGGGUGAGUAACACGUGAGUAACCUGCCCCUGACUCUGGGAUAAGCGUUGGAAACGACGUCUAAUACUGGAUAUGAUCGCCGACCGCAUGGUCUGGUGGUGGAAAGAUUUUUUGGUUGGGGAUGGACUCGCGGCCUAUCAGCUUGUUGGUGAGGUAAUGGCUCACCAAGGCGACGACGGGUAGCCGGCCUGAGAGGGUGACCGGCCACACUGGGACUGAGACACGGCCCAGACUCCUACGGGAGGCAGCAGUGGGGAAUAUUGCACAAUGGGCGAAAGCCUGAUGCAGCAACGCCGCGUGAGGGAUGACGGCCUUCGGGUUGUAAACCUCUUUUAGUAGGGAAGAAGCGAAAGUGACGGUACCUGCAGAAAAAGCACCGGCUAACUACGUG